GCCCGGCUAGCUCAGUCGGUAGAGCGUUGGACUCUUAAUCCAACGGUCCGCGGGUCCAAGCCCCACGUUGGAGCG
rnacentral:tRNA from 1 species